UAUGGUCAUAUCACUUUGAAACACCGAUCCCCCAUAAGAUCAUCGAAGUUAAGCAACGUUGUGCCUGGUCAGUAUCUAGAUGGGUGGCCGCUUGGGAAUAUUAGGCGGUGUAAG